rnacentral:rRNA from 1 species
AGAGUUUGAUCCUGGCUCACAUUGAACGCUGGCGGCAGGCCUAACACAUGCAAGUCGAACGGUAACAGGAAACAGCUUGCUGUUUCGCUGACGAGUGGCGGACGGGUGAGUAAUGUCUGGGAAACUGCCUGAUGGAGGGGGAUAACUACUGGAAACGGUAGCUAAUACCGCAUAACGUCGCAAGACCAAAGAGGGGGACCCUCGGGCCUCUUGCCAUCGGAUGUGCCCAGAUGGGAUUAGCUUGUUGGUGGGGUAACGGCUCACCAAGGCGACGAUCCCUAGCUGGUCUGAGAGGAUGACCAGCCACACUGGAACUGAGACACGGUCCAGACUCCUACGGGAGGCAGCAGUGGGGAAUAUUGCACAAUGGGCGCAAGCCUGAUGCAGCCAUGCCGCGUGUAUGAAGAAGGCCUUCGGGUUGUAAAGUACUUUCAGCGGGGAGGAAGGGAGUAAAGUUAAUACCUUUGCUCAUUGACGUUACCCGCAGAAGAAGCACCGGCUAACUCCGUGCCAGCAGCCGCGGUAAUACGGAGGGUGCAAGCGUUAAUCGGAAUUACUGGGCGUAAAGCGCACGCAGGCGGUUUGUUAAGUCAGAUGUGAAAUCCCCGGGCUCAACCUGGGAACUGCAUCUGAUACUGGCAAGCUUGAGUCUCGUAGAGGGGGGUAGAAUUCCAGGUGUAGCGGUGAAAUGCGUAGAGAUCUGGAGGAAUACCGGUGGCGAAGGCGGCCCCCUGGACGAAGACUGACGCUCAGGUGCGAAAGCGUGGGGAGCAAACAGGAUUAGAUACCCUGGUAGUCCACGCCGUAAACGAUGUCGACUUGGAGGUUGUGCCCUUGAGGCGUGGCUUCCGGAGCUAACGCGUUAAGUCGACCGCCUGGGGAGUACGGCCGCAAGGUUAAAACUCAAAUGAAUUGACGGGGGCCCGCACAAGCGGUGGAGCAUGUGGUUUAAUUCGAUGCAACGCGAAGAACCUUACCUGGUCUUGACAUCCACGGAAGUUUUCAGAGAUGAGAAUGUGCCUUCGGGAACCGUGAGACAGGUGCUGCAUGGCUGUCGUCAGCUCGUGUUGUGAAAUGUUGGGUUAAGUCCCGCAACGAGCGCAACCC